GGGUCUUCCCUGGUCUCUCACAGCUUUUCUCCUCACAGGUGGAAAAGGAGGGAACUAUACUCCAGCUUCAGGCAGGGACAGUGCCCAGAGUUCUGAUGUGUCUCUCCCAGGCUGUGAAGCAUGAAGACAGCUGCCUGUCCUGACAGAGUGACAGAGAUGUGCUCAGGUCUCUCCUGUGACGUCCUGAGCCCCUCAGUUCACUCUCAGCAACAGUGUCUGAUGUUCCCUGUGACCCUGUGGGCUCAAUGUGAAGAACUGGGGAGCCCAGGCCCCCCUGCACACCAGGACCCUGUCCCUGCACUGCCUGUGUUCCCUUCCACAGCCAACCUUCCUGGUCCAGCAGGCAGGAGGGGACAUCUCCAUCCUGUCACCUCCAUGCUGCCCUGAGCUGCAGCCCCUGACUCCCCACUGAAAAUAAGAAUCUGAAUGUGAACUUGGUUGUUCACGUCCUUGAUCUGACAGGGGGAUUGAUGAAUAAAUUAAAUGAUUGAAAUACUUAGAGCUUGUGGAUGAAAUAAAUGGCAGCAUGGAGAACCUUCCA